UGGGGAAUCUUAGACAAUGGGCGCAAGCCUGAUCUAGCCAUGCCGCGUGAGUGAAGAAGGCCUUAGGGUCGUAAAACUCUUUCGCCAGAGAUGAUAAUGACAGUAUCUGGUAAAGAAACCCCGGCUAACUCCGUGCCAGCAGCCGCGGUAAUACGGAGGGGGUUAGCGUUGUUCGGAAUUACUGGGCGUAAAGCGCACGUAGGCGGACUGGAAAGUUGGGGUGAAAUCCCGGGGCUCAACCUCGGAACUGCCUCCAAAACUAUCAGUCUAGAGUUCGAGAGAGGUGAGUGGAAUUCCAAGUGUAGAGGUGAAAUUCGUAGAUAUUUGGAGGAACACCAGUGGCGAAAGGC
rnacentral:rRNA from 1 species